CCUCUCAGACAGGGGAGCCGACGAGGCUGAGAACGCGCACCACCGCACGUGACCCUUCGAACCUGAUACGGUUAGCACCGCCGAAGGGAGUCGCAUUUCACCAAAC
rnacentral:ncRNA from 2 species